GAGGAGCCCGUCGGCCAAAGGCCGAACGAGCUCCGCGGCCAGGGCAGCGGUGGCCGAGGGAGCCGGGCCGAGGCGCCGGGGGAAAGCCAAGGACUCCAUGGCGAGCAGGUUUACCAAGUGCUGGCUGCGUGCAGGGCAUGGACCAGGUGCUGAGCGUGUGAAGGUCCUAGGGAAAUGAGGGUGCAAAGGUCCCCCUGGCUGUUGCAGCAAACUGUGCACGAGGUUCUGGAGGGGCCGGCAGUGUGGAUGUCAAAGCAGUGGAUGCUCCUGAGCUGGCAACUCACCGUCCACACUGAAGGGGUGCUGAGCCCGGGCACCUGCUCCCAGUGUGUGUACCAGAGUAUUGGGAAAUGAAGACAAGAGAGGGGAGGGGCCUUCCAGAGACGGACUGGGAUGAGAAGGCCUAUGGCAGGGAGGGGGUUGAGGCCCGGAGCCAGGCCAUUGGACCCCAGAUCCUGAGCGGCCUCUGCAGCACCAUGAGGUACAGCCAUGAGGUAUGCCGCUGACACCCCCUAUUUCCCUCGCUCCUCUGUGAGCCACACCCAAAGUCUUCCCAGCAUGGACCUCCAAGAGGUGAGUCCUCAGCAGAUACCAGCUUGAGCCCUGAGUGGCCCUCACAGGUUGCAGCAGUCAGUCCCCCAUUCUCAUAAUGGGAAGAGCCUUUAGGGCUGGCUACAGCCCUAAGGUACCCCAACUAUUUAAAACGCCUCAGUCCCAUCCACAUGUCUGGUGCCAUUUUGUGUGCUUGGAAAGCCUCCUACACACAAAGCUAGGCUUCCUGUUGGAAGGGGUGGAGGGAGCCCAUUUGUAAAUGCCUUUC